GGCCGCUGCCAUGUUGGCCGAAGUGGCGUUCUCUGCCGGGGCAACUGGCUCUGGCUGCGGCUGCCAGGUCUUUAUGCACAGGGUCUUCCUUCUUCCCCUCGCCCGCGGUUGGCGCUGAGAGGCGGCGUCCGGCGGGAUGGAGAAAAGUAGGAUGAACCUGCCCAAGGGGCCGGACACGCUGUGCUUUGACAAGGACGAGUUCAUGAAGGAAGACUUUGAUGUGGAUCACUUUGUGUCUGACUGUCCGAAGCGAGUCCAGCUGAAAGCACUUAGAGAUGACCUGGAGCUCUACUAUAAGCUGCUUAAAACAGCCAUGGUUGAGCUCAUCAACAAGGACUAUGCAGACUUUGUCAACCUGUCAACAAACCUGAGUCUUCGGUCAUCUGUCAGUGAAGGAAUUCGGGCAGUAGGUGAACGAAUGUCUAAACAAGAGGACAUUAGGGGAAAAAAGAUAUGUGUGUUGCAGCUUAUAUAGGUUAUUCCAUCAGUUGACAAAAUUGAAAAAAUCUUAAGUUCUCAACAUUGUAAAGAAAUAUCUGCACUAGAAGCAAGCAGUUAAAAUUCAUCUCUGAAAAAGAAGAAAGGCCAAGUCUAUGGUUCAGUGUUUUUGAGUGUAGCUUGUGGAAAGUGGAGGGUGUGAGAUGGUAAAGUUUAUAAUACAUCCUUAUAAAGGCUUUAUGGUUAUGGGCCACAGUUCCAGUACAUCACUUCACAGGGAAUCAGAGGAGUGUGCUUUUAUUGGAAGAAUUUUAGUCUUUGGAAUUGCCUUAGAGAACCACUGGCAAAAUUUUGUUGAUCUUCAAGAUAUGAAAUAGCUUUCAUCUUUCCUAAAUUCAUUUAGACCACCAGAGUAAUGGCCAGAGUAUUGCCACUUAUGUAUCUUACCGUACCAUUACAUGAUUAAGAAACAGGAUAGGCACAUUUAGUUAACAUUGUCAACAAGGAAAAAAAAAAAAAAAACUUGUGAAAUUAGAAAAAGAUGACCAUUUUCUUUGUUACAUACUGCAGCUGUCUUCUUCUUAUCUUUCUAGUCUGAAUUUUAAAUCAGCCAGAUAGGUGAGUGACUCAGAAAAUGAGUAGCUCAUACCAGCACCAUGGGAAGCACCGUGGUGCCAUGGACAGAUUUGUGCUGUAUAUUCCACUCUGCAGCCUGAGCCAUGGAACUCAGCUCCUGGUGUCAGUGACAGGGGAAGCUAACGGGAACUCCUCUGGCAGAGUUGUCUGACACUGAGGUGCCGUCAGCCCAUACCUGGCAUGUAUAGGCCCUCAGUUCAGUUGAGUUGCUCAGUCACGUUUGACUGUUUGUGACCCCAUUUGAUGAGUCAUCCCUUCUGACCCAUCCAGGGGAGCUGUUUGUCUCAAACGGUUCCAAGUCUCUUGCCCUCAGCUGCCUUGGCAGCUCCUGCCAGCUUAUCCUCAGUCGACAUCCACCAUACCUGCCUUCCUGUUUUCUUUCCGUUUUUGACCAUCCCUCCUCUUCCUUUGAUAGAGAUGCAUCACAAUGUCUUUUUCUAUAAUACUGUUCCUUUGUGAUAUUCCAUCUUUAAUUAAUAGAUAUUAUGCUGUUUUUGCUCAGAAUCACCUUCGAGGACUUUUUAAAAAUUCAGAUCAGCAACUUUGAGUUGUAGAGGAGGGGAAACCAGGGCAGUGUAAUGUAAAUAACCAGGUAGAGCUAGAGAGAGGGAAAGGAAGUUAACAAUGAAGAAGGCCCUGAGUGGGAGAGACUGGGGGAGGAGAUGUAAACACCCACACUGGCCUGGGCCAGCUCUUGCUUCUCUGCUGGCCCCUGUGGUCGGGGCCUGGCAGUGUCAGGGGCUUAUACUUAACUUUUCUAGUUUUCCACUGUCCUAGAACAUGUUGUACCAGAGAAGGAAAUGGCACCCCACUCCAGUACUCUUGCCUGGAAAAUCCCAUGAAUGGAGGAGCCUGGUAGGCUGCAGUCCAUGGAGUCGCAAAGAGUCAGCACAACUGAGCGACUUCACUUUCACUUUUCACUUUCAUGCAUUGGAGAAGGAAAUGGCAACCCACUCUAGGGUUCCUGCCUGGAGAAUCCCAGGGACAGCGGAGCCUGAUGGGCUGCCGUCUAUGGGGUCGCAUAGAGUCGGACACGACUAAAGCGACUUAGCAGCAGCAGCAGCAGCAGAAUAUGCUGUAAAAGCUCAUGGCACAAAGGAUGCCAUAGCUUCUACCUUAUAACAAGGGGGCUAUGGAAAAGCACAAUGAAAGCAUCAGGAUUGCCAAUCAUGUGAUAUAUUCUUGGAAAUUAAAAACCUUUAGAAAUUAACUCUUUUUAAUUGUCUCCACUAGCCCACUUUUGACUGAAAUUUUGGAGAGAAUUGCCACAGAAUUUAAUCAGUUACAGUGUCAUGCUGUUCAAAGCAAAGCCUUGCCUGUUUUGGACAAAAUAAGACCAGGAACUGUUGUUCUAGAUUUUUGACACUUUAGUAUUUAGGAAUUUGCUAAAUAAUUUUGAUUUUACCUGGUACAGGCAGACCUUGUUUUAUUGCCCUUAGAUUUAUUGUGUUUCACAGAUCCUGCACUUUUUUUUAAUUGAAGGUUUAUUGCAGCUCUGCGUCAGGCAGGUCUGUCACCAUGCUAGUACCCUUUUAACAGCACCUGCUCACUUCAAGUCCUGUAAUCUCUGUAUCUCAUUCUGGUAGUCUUCACAGUAUUUCAAACCUCCACCAGCAAAAUGAUGAUAGCUUACUGAUGGUUCACAUGAUGGUUGCAUUUUUUAGCAAUAAAGCAUUUUUAAUUAAAGUAGUUAAGGUCUGUAUCUUGUUUUUCUUACACAUAAUGCUUUUGCAAACUCAACAUACUGUAUGCAGUACAGUAUAAACAGACCCUUUAUAUCUGCUGAGAAUCCAAGAAACCCCCAUACCUGACUUAAUUGUGAUAGUAGUCAAUUUACUGUGGUGGCCUGGAACUACACCUGCAGUAUUGCCAAGGUAUGCCUAUAUUGUUCUGACAGUUUUUGAUCUGCAGGAUUUUGAAACUAGCUUUGAAUUUUCUCUUUCAUUUUUUGUUUUUUAGGCCCCUGCCUCCUAAGUGUCGCACAUUAUAGAUUUUGUGUAAAGACACAGGCAUAUCCUCUGACUUAUAAGGGUAAAAUUAAUUCUAAAUUUCGUGUAACUUGACACACUAUAUGAUUUAGUCAGAAUUAAUUUAUCCAAAACUCUUGACUGGACUUUAGAAUCAUGAUGUUUGUCAGAUUUACUCUGUAGCUUAAAAGAACCUCAUUCUGAAGUGAUAUCUAAAUCCUCCUUUGAUACAGCAAAGAUUAACUUACAAAGAGAUGUGAGGAGGAGGAGAGAUUCAUUGUUCCUCUCCAGAAAAUGUUAAUAUUUAAUUUUACAUGUCUUCUGUUGGAAUAAGAAAUUUGUAAUGUGUGUGUUUGGAUCUUUAGAAAUGACUACAACUGGAGCUUUUUAACCUGUCUUUCUUGCAGCGUAUAGCUGGUAUUAAAGCCAUGUUACAACAGUCGCUGGAAGGCCUCCUAUUAGAAGGUCUUCAGACUUCCAGUGUCCAUAUUAUUCGGCCCUGCUUACGGACUUAGGCCACAAUUGACAAGACAUGGGAUGCAGAGGCAUUAGUUGGUCAGGUCCUCGUGAAACCAUACAUAGAUGAGGUUUGUGUACUGUUGAAUAAGGCCUUCAUUCAGCAGAUGUUCAUAUAGAGCAUCUGCUCUGUCUUGGAUGCUUUACUGGGUGUAAGGGGUAGUUUAGAGGCCUUUCUCUAAAGAUUCUCAGUUACUGUAGUACCAUCAGUUGUAAGAAAAGGUUGGUCCCUGGUGGUUACAACCAGCAUGCAGGAGUCAGGCACCUUCUCAAGUGUUUUUUAGUGAUGCCCAGGGAUCAUGUUAAUUUAGUGGGAGUAGGGUCUUGCCUAGGGAGAAGGAAUGUAUCAAAACGUUUUUAGGUUAGUUUUAUGGUAUCUGAAUUAUUUGCCACUAAAUUCUUAAAAUGAAUUUUUAACUACUGGUCUAGUGUGUAAAAUGAAACAAGUAAGCAGAUACCAAAACCACAGUGUAAGUUCCUAGUAAGGGAGCCUGCUGAAACCCUGGCCAUGGAAAGUCUGUGCUGAAGGUUGUCUUCACAGAGAUGUGGCCUAAGUCUUGAAUACUGAGGAAUCUCUUAGCCAGGAAGGUGGGAGGGAGGAAAUAGUCACUGACGCAGGACUUUCAUAGGCAAAUUAGCAGCAUAAUACCCUGAGUCCAAAACUUGACUGUCCAGUGUCCUUCAUCUCCAAGGAUGCAGUUAAACUUUGGAAAGUAUGCACAUUCUGCCUUUGAGCAGCCAGGAUGUAGACUGUACCAUACGAAGUUGCCAAUACUCAACGUUUUCUGACACACAAAAGUGGCAGCUUCAUCUGGUUCAAACUGAUAAGAGUCACAAGCCCAUCCUCAGUGUUUGCAGACUCUUCAGUCCUCUGUCAGUGUGGAUGCUCUUUCUGUCCAGUAAGUACAAAGCCCUGUUCACCAUGACUUUGGGAUGAAAGCCUCCCAUUUAUAAAUGGGGGAAAUGGAAUCCCAUUGAUAAAAAUGAAAUGUAAGGAUUAACUUCAGUAAUCCUUUCAGCUUUUAUUAGAGUUACUAAAAGUAAAUGAUCUGUCAGUUUCCUCUCUUCCUAUCCUGUUCUAUUUCUUACCUAACUUGAUAAGAAUGAAAAAGACAAAUUACCUACAUUAUUUCUGUCUCAGUGAGUGAAAAUCAUUACUAGCUUAUGCCUUUGUUUUUCAUUGAACUGAACCUAAGAGAAACAUUUGAUGUUUCAGUGGCAUAUUAAAUAAACCAAGGCCACAUUUUCAUUUUUUUUAAAUUCGUAUGCAUAUCUUGUCAUUAACCUCUUGACUGUCAACCUUAACACAAAAGAUAAAAUAAUAAAGUAAAAUAAAAUAUAUAUUUCCAUCUUUCUCUGUCUCACGCCUUCCCCUGAUCUAAAUUAUGGUAGAAGAAAAGGCCGAGAUCAGUACAGGGAGGGUCUGUUGUUAUGGGAAAUUGUCAUUUUAUUUUGUUUUCAGUCUCGGGAGGGGAGGAGACAAAUGUGCUUGGCUUUCCAGCUUCAGGCCAGUCUCUGUCACCCAGCCUGUGUCUCCCCUGGGUCAGAGCUGUGCUUCCAAAUCCUGAAUCUAGUUCUGAGUAUAGCUGUUACUGUUGGAAAACAUGUUAGCUGGGGAGGAGGGGGCAUGAGGAAGCAUACUUUUGAGGUUUUCUCUAUUUUUCCUGUAGUGUGUAAUUCAUACCUCUCUUUUAGAUGCUUUUUAAAAAAUGCUAUUUGUUUAAUAGGUGAUUCUAGAGCAGAUUGUUGAUAGUCAUCUGAGUGAUCUCCAGUUCAUGUAUGAUAAACUCUUGGAGUUCGUUCCCCAUCACUGCCACCUUCUUCAAGAGGUCACAGGAGGAGCCAUCUCAAGGUAUUAUAACAGAAGGCUGUGAGAAGACGGUAUGAAAUGACAGAUGGCCCAGCAGAGAAAACAGAAAACCCAUCCGGAAAGCAGAUCCUGAGCCUCAGGGUGGGCCUGCAGUUACCAACAGCAGCACGAGAGACAGGCAGCAGACAUCUGAUGAGCGCCAGGCAGAGACUUGUUCUGGUUUAACUGCCUACUUUCAGUGAUUUAGAGAAAUAGCGGGAUCCUUAGAAGCAGCACUUACAGAUGUCCUGGAAGAUGCACCAGGUAACAUCCUCAGAGUGACAAAGGCUAUCAUUAAGUGGGUUAAUUCCAUUCACCAAGUCUUCUUGGUGGCCUUAGCGCCCUGGGAGCACUUUGACCUUUUGCUGUCUUCCAGUAGUGUUACUUGCUCAGUCGUGUCCAACUCUUUGCAACCCCAUGGAUUGUAGUGUACCAGGCUCCUCUGUCCAUGAAAUUCUCCAAGCAGUUACUGGAGUGGGUAGCCAUUCCUGACCCAGGGAUCAAACCCAGGUCUCCUGCAUUGCAUGCAGAUGAUUUACCAUCAGAGCCACCAGGGAAGUAAGUUAGACCCUGAAGAUAGAGUUUAAGUUCUUUUUUAAAAAAAGGUUUCUAGAGCUUCCGGCUGUAUAGAGACGAUGUAAAGAAUGCUUUAAGAAAACGGGAAGGAGAACACAUUUUCGCUUCUGAAUAUAAUGUGUCAAGGGCAUAUAACCCCUGCUGUGCUUAAGUGACAGCCUUUUCUUGUAGCCUUGUGGCUACCCUCCACUUCCCUCUCAAGCUGAGGUCAAGGAUCAGAAUGUCCCUUCCCUCCAGAGAAUAACUCUCAGCUCGGACUGCUGCCUCAGGCCUCCAGAGCCCUUGGCCCAGUCCUGGGACAGUGGGCGGGUGGCUGGGGUCAGCCUACGCUUUCCAGACGUGUUUGCAUCUAAUCACGCUUUAGGUGUCCCUGGUGCCUGCUCACCUAGGUGGCUGUUCCUGUAGCCACAAAGCUCCACUCCACUGUGCUCCCUUUUGUGUGGCCAAGUUCCAUCUAAACUGCACUCUUCUAGCCUCAAAAGUUUAUUUUCAGCUGUCUUUGCAAAGGUAGCCAUGUGUAAUUGACUUCCUGUAUUUAAAUAGCAUAUUCAGGAGUGGAAGAGAAGACAGGACAAAUUCAAAACCAAAGAGUAAACCCUUGCAAGUGACUGCCAUUCCAAUUCGCAUUUGUUGCUUUAUUAUAAAGUACCUGUUAACUGAUUAUUUCUGAUUGUUAUGUAUGUUUAAUAUGCAUCAAAUACCUGGGAGAAGGAGUCAUGUAAAAUUAGAAAACAGCGUUUAAAGGCCUCUUGGCUGUCCACUCCACCUCCCUAAAUCUUUGCUGACCUCAUAGGAUUCUUCAGAAUGUCAUUGGCUUCAUUCUUGGCUUGUCCGUUGAAGAUUUUAGCUGUUAGCCCUUCCGCUGCGACUCCUUAACUGUGCGUUUUUACCUCUAGCUGGGAGCUUGUAUUGCCUUUUGGCUUCUCAUAGGACGUGGAGCAGCCUUCAGAGGUGCUGGUCUGACAAGAUGUUCUUGCCGCUGCUGGCACAUCGUCUGUGGAGACUGAUGCUGCAGAUUCUGGCGCGGUACUCCAAAUUUGUCAAGGAGGUGAGGGCUGGCUGGUGCUCAUCCCUAAUCAAGACUGAAAUGAAUUAAAGACAGGUUAAACUAAACGUGCCAAGAUUUUUAAAGCCCAUGUGGUCAUGAGAGGUUGAUGCAAGGGCUAUAGUCCAACUUCCCUAGUUUCUAUCCAUUUCACUGGACUUCCUUUUCACUCUUGUUUAUGUGAUCUUUAGGGGCAUCAGUUGUCACAUAUUCAUUGCUUUGUCUUUUUGAAAAGCACCACAUUGACCUCAUUUUCCCUUAGGGAAACCAGAAUCUUUGUAUGGUGCCUCCAAUACAGAGGCACCAUAAAACAGAGAUGGUCGUUUUAAUGAAGAUAAUAAAAAUAUGCAUAGUUUUUCCUUAAUAUUUGGAAAUUGAAAAACACCAAAUGGCUGAGAUUAGAAGGUCUUAAAAUUGGUUAACCUUCCCUUCGUUUCAGAAACCCUUUUCAGCUUGGAUGUAUUAGGUAUUCACAUGCCUAUAAUGAUUGAUUAAUUUUUGUGCAUAAAGCCACAGGAGCAUUCAUGUGGUCCAGUGCUGAGCACCCAGCCCCACCAGGUCCACUCCAGGUCUCAGAGAUGCCUGCUGCACAGACAGCUCAGUGAUAGACACACACCCCGGCCAGUGCAAGGUGAUGAUUAUAAGAGAGCGUGAGCGGAAGUGUAGGAAAGAUGACAUGGAGAAGCCAUCAUCCACGGACACGGAAGCACUCUGUCAACUGGAGGAGAGUGUUUCAGUGGAAAAAGCACAGGCUUCAAGUCAGACCUUGGAGCUGCUGCUCUUUAAUUAUGUGGUCUUAGGGAAAUUGGCUGAAUCUCAGAUUCUUCGUCUGUAAAAUAGGAACACAACUUCUACAUGUGCUUGUUGUGAGGAGUAAAGAGAUUUCUUGCCCAGCAAACUGAUAACGAAGGUGCCCAGCAGAUAAUGGUGCUCCAUCCAAGUUCCUCUCCUCUUCCUCCUUUGCCUCCCUCUCCUCAGAGGAGUCUCAGUAGAGCACCCUGCCCUAUGAAACUGUUCAUGAAGAUCGUGCAGUUCCUGGGACACCGUGGACUUGAUAUGAUCCUUUGAGGCCUGGGCUUGCUUCAUCAUCCCCAGCAAGAUGCCAGCCAGUGAUUAUUCUUACACCUAGAAUAUUCCAUUCUUUUCUCGAUGCAAGUGCUCUGCUCUUAGGUUUCUUUCCCCUGUAGCAGUCCAUUAUGCAGAGGACACUUAGGUUGUUUGUAUUAUUUGAAGCAUAACUGAGGUUGAGACUUUUAUUUUUUACCCUAUGAUAAUAAUUUAUUAAAUAAAUAUAGUAAAUUGUUUACCUUAAGCAGUUAAUUAACUUUUUAAAGCCUAGGAUGUUCCGGAUCUUAAUUUUCCUUUAGUUUCGGGACCUCUUGCUUUCUUUCUGUUACUUAGGUCAAGGAGGGGAAAUGCACACAGGGUCACAGUCUGUCCUGUUCCUGUUUUUCACACCUACCUGGAGAGGCAGGGUGUGGUCUCCUUUCCUGAGUUAACUUUCACUUAAUACUUUGUCGACAGCUGGCAUUUUGUGUUGAGUUACAUGCUCAUGUAUCUUGCAGGUGGAAAUAUUUUAUUGCUGAAAUCCUUUACUCAGGCCCAUCUCUAAUGAAAGUGCUAAGGAUAUUAAAAAGCCUUUGGUAACUGGCAGCAAAGAUCUAUCACCCAAGGAAAUUGCAAAGACCAAGCAAGUGGCCCUUCUGAAACAAAGCCCAUCGUCUCCAUUUCCAGCACUCAGCUUGUCUGUGUGGUCACAGACCUGGACAGGCUUCAGGAGCAGUUAAGCCUGUGUCGCAGAGGAUUCUAAGUGUGGGGUUCAGGGUUCUCACUGUCUGGCCUUGUGGGCCAGACACUGUCUAGACUUGUGGGCCCAGGGCCUCUGAGAGAGAGCAUCCUUUUCCCUCCCUCUGGCGUCGCCUCCGCCCCCGACGGGCAUGCUGUCCUCCUCGGGUAGCAGCCUGUGUUCUCACUGUCUGGCCUCAUGGGGUUUAGACUUGUGGGCCCAGGGCCCCUGAGAGAGAGCAUCCUUUCCCUCCCUCUGGCGUCGCCUCCGCCCCCUGACUGGCAUGCUCUCCUCCUUGGGUAGCAGCCUGUCUACCGCGUGCCUGCCUGGAGCCCUGGCUUCCCCUGAGCAGUGACGCCACAGGCCAGGGCAAACCAGGCCCUCAUUAGC